GCUUACGACCGUGCCACACUGUCUGCACCCGAUCUCGUCUGACCUCAGAAGCUAAGCAGUGUCGGGCCUGGUUAGUACUUGGAUGGAACACCGCCUGGGAAUACCAGGUGCAGUAAGCU
ensembl:rRNA 5S_rRNA 5S ribosomal RNA